rnacentral:lncRNA from 1 species
AAUGAAAGAUGAAAUGAGAAGAAUAUAGGACAGCAAGAAAAAAGAUUAAAUGGAUCCUACCAAAAGAAAGUGUGACAGGACAGCAGAGGAGAAAGAGAUAAACUCUUUAGUCGCCUUAUACGACAUGCGGAUCAGACGGUGGAUGAGUUCUACCUCAUCCACAGAGGAUCGAUGUGAAAACAGAAUAUUGAACAUUGCAACAUUGUCGAGAUGUAGUGAUAAUAUAAUAUGUAUGACUUAUUUAUUUUUAUUUUAUAGGCGCCCUGCUUGAAAAAUUAAAUUGAAUGAUGUGUUUAAACGUGUGCGAUCCAUAUAAACAAUACAAAUCUUCAAGGC